GCUCCUGUGGCUUAGCGGUACUUUGCGCGAACAAAAGUUUGCGCGUAGCGCAAAAUAGCGCGACAUUGGUAAUGUCGAGGUCCCGAGUUCAAUUCUCGGCAGGGGCU
rnacentral:tRNA from 1 species